GUUGUUCGAGUCAAGAUGGGUUACAAACAUAUCAAAAUGCAGAUUUUUUUUUUCUUAGGUUCUAUUGGAUGUUGCCUAAAGAUCAUUGCGGGGUUGCCAACAUAAUUCUUAACACACCUACACUAACUUACUUUCUUUCAACUACCCCCUGCGCAACAUCUUGGUAUUUUUAGUAUUAGCCAAAUUAAGAAUGGCAGUAGCUAGUGGUUCACCAAACUUAUGUGUUUUGUCUUUGUUUUUGUCUUCUUUAGCCCGGACCACAUUCAAUUAUUU